AAGGAGAAGAAAGUAGGUAACUUCAGAAGUAAUGUAAAAUACUACUUCAUCUGCCAUGCAUUCAUACUACAGAACUUAGCUGUGCAUCAGGGUCAGCAGGAAACCCAUAAAAUCUCUCCUCUCAUGGAAUGUGGAUAUUGACAAUUUACAACUAUACACAAUAAAGAGGUAUGGUUGUCGCUGGCAUGUCUGCAAAAGACAGUCUACAGUGUUUCUGUGCCCGACUGUGACCUCUGAGGAGGACUAGAACACCCAUGUGUUUGUGCCUCUUCAGCGUAUGAACCAGUAACUUGGAUUCAGUCCUGAGACUGAGGCUACUCACCUCAUCAUCUCCUUGAGGUUCCCCCACCCUUCUCUGGAGUGCUGAGAC